rnacentral:lncRNA from 1 species
CAAAAUUGGAAGGCUAUAUUGACUUAAUAUUUCAAUAGAGGGAUUUUGUUAAGGUUUUACCUUAGUCCAUUUAGCCGUUAAUUGAUCUCAUCAAUUAAUAUUUAAAAUUUGGCAUGCUUUAGACAUCCAUAGCAUCUCAUACAUGAAUAAAUAAAGCAAUAAAUAAAUGCAAUAGUUAUAGCCCAUAAAAUAAGGUGGUGCAACCCAAGCCAAUGGGAAAACCAAAUGGAAACCUAAAGGUGUAAGCCGUUUCACAAGCUAUCGAUCCACACUAG